AUUGAACGCUGGCGGCAGGCCUAACACAUGCAAGUCGAACGAGUGGCGGACGGGUGAGUAAUGUCUGGGAAAGUGCCUGGUGGAGGGGGAUAACUACUGGAAACGGUAGCUAAUACCGCAUACCAUCAGAUGUGCCCAGAUGGGAGUAGCUUGUUGGGGGGGUAACGGCUCACCAAGGCAACGAUCCGUAGCUGGUCUGAGAGGAUGACCAGCCACACUGGAACUGAGACACGGCCCAGACUCCUACGGGAGGCAGCAGUGGGGAAUAUUGCACAAUGGGCGAAAGCCUGAUGCAGCCAUGCCGCGUGUAUGAAGAAGGCCGUCGGGUUGUAAAGUACUUGCAGCGGGGAGGCGUUACCCGCAGAAGAAGCACCGGCUAACUCCGUGCCAGCAGCCGCGGUAAUUC
rnacentral:rRNA from 1 species